ACUUCUUAUUUGUAUUUGAUUUUAUUUCUAUUGCAAGUUGAUACACUUCACUCUUCAUCUUGGCACAUUGCUUAAGUAGUUCAAUCUUUAAAAUUUUAAAAAGAUCCAAUUCACCCCUCCUCUGGGGCUCCAUAUCUGGGCAAUAUGAGAUUCGAUCUCGAUAAUUUUUUUUUCUAUUUUUAGAUUAUGUGCAUGUCAUAGAUCCAGG
rnacentral:lncRNA from 1 species